AGGAGGGGCGGGAGGGGCGCGCAGGCGCGGACCGCCUGGCGGUACUUUGAAGAAAGACUUCUCGACGCCGGGACACUGCUGGUGGUACUCGAUGUAGCACAUCUUGGUUUGGACAGACCACAUAGUGGCCAGUGGCUGCCAUAUUGGACAGCACUGGUGUAAGAGGGUCCAUCUCUCACUCCCACAUCAAUGUCCAAUGGUUUCUCAUUCAACUGGAAAGUGAAAUUGGAAAUCUUGUGAAAGAUGAAGAAUUAUGAAUGUGGUACGUUGAACUGCUGGGCCCACCCACAAGACAUCAACAAAUGAAGGUGUGGAAGGGUUAAACCAGUUAACGUUGAACAAAGGACAAUGGAUAUGAUGAGUUACAGGCUGAGUUGUAUCCCUCCACAAUUCACAUGUUGAAGUCCUAACCUUUAGUACUUCAGGGUGUAACUUAUUUGGAAACAAGAUCAUUAUAGAAGUUAAAACGAGGUCAUUAGGGUGGGCCCUAAUCUUACUAACCUGUCCCUAUAAAAGGGAAAUUUGAACACAGUGACACCCAGAGGGAAGAUGAUGUG
rnacentral:sRNA from 1 species